UGAUUAUCCGCGCUGUGAUUGGUCCGGUUAUCUGACCCGGGGACUGCCAGGAGAAGACAAUAGUUUUAGUCAAAUUAUUUGCCAUGGUGACGCUGUCAAUCAGGGGUAACCCGAUCUGUUUUGAGGUGGCUCCCCGGCUGGGUUGACAGAUUGCUCAGAUCCACUCCGAGGCGGCCCCGCGAGCUGAGAUAUUGGCUGGCGAGGGAGAAACCGCCGCCGGGAUUGGCGCUGCGGGCGCCCGUCGGGAGCGGGCAGCGGAGAGCGCUGAGCCGCCGUCGGGGCCCGCAGCCCGGGCUCUGCUCGGCCCGGCGGCUGCGUUGGGGACGAACAGCCGGGCGGGCCCUCGCUGAAAGUUUCUUUCUAAAUGCACUUAACACCCUUCCAGACGCCCAGCGACAACUGUCGCGAUGGGCUUUAUAGGGAAGGGGCCUCUAGGGUACAAUAGGAACCCUGUUCGCCACUGGAGUAUCGUCACAGAGCGGCACUACCUGCCCGCCGGGCCCCAGUCAGGCAUGGCCGCAGCCGAGCGCAGCCCCGCUGACCGCAGCCCGACCGCCCCUUUAGGUGCGCCUUUUCGGCCGCCGAGCUUUUAUUUCUGCUUCGUUUUCAGCAGCGUGCCGGGCUGUUUCCAGCCAGGGGCACGGGGAAAAGUUAGAGGCGCUUCGCGUGGCGAAGCUGUCCCGCAUCGCCCACGCGUGCCCUACGCACGGCGAUUUUAAUUCAGCGUCUGUGCGGGGAGGGGAGGACCUUCGCCUCUUCCAGUCGCUCUCGGGGCACGUAACGAACGCGGAUGAGCUUAUGCGGGCCGAACGGGAGUGGAGCGACCAGGCAGGGGUCCCCGAGGUGUCUGCGGACCUCUCGGUCGUACGGGAGCUGGAAGUCCCAGCUUCGGGCACUCGAGAGGAACCUCUCUAUCCCAAAGGUAGGGCGUUUCUCAUCCCCCUUAAUGCUUCAGUUCUGGGGAAGAAACGAUAAGAAUAACGAAACCGAGCCCUACGCCAUUUACAACCCCAACUGGAGGGCUGUCCGCAGCUGUGGGUUCCCGACAAGAAAUCUUUUUGACACCGCCCAGCUGCACCCCCGAGCUCGAGGGGCUCACGAAGCAGCAGGAAGCGGCUCCCCUCCGCGCAGCCGGGCCCCCGCGGCGGGAGCCGGGCCGGGCACAGCUGCUCCCCCAGGGAGACGAGGGAGGGCGGCGGCGGCGCGGCGCGGCCCGGACGCUCCCGGCGGCUGCCGGCCCGGAGCAGCGCCAGUGUGAAGGGCGGCGAGGGGGAGGCAGGAGGAGAGGGGUGGGGGAGCGAAUCUGCCUCCUCCAGCCCCGCCGCAUCCGGGACGCUGUGCGGCUGGGUUCGCUUGGGUGAGCUCCGCUUUGGAAACCGCACGCCCUCCUACCUGCCCGACACGCUCCCGGGGGUUGCUGUGCAGAACCGUGCGAGGCUCGGCCCGGGAAGCGGAGCCGAGGGAGGCCGUCUCUGCAGGGCACGGGGGAGACGCAGUGCAAAUUCGUUUCAAACGAAUUCGGGAGUGUCGGUGGCUGCUCAGCAUUGCCUCUUCUCAUGGGUCUCCCUCCGCAUCCCAUAGACAAAAAGCGGUCCGGGUCUCGGCGCCGGCCGACUUCAGCAGGGCUUAAACAGUGCUCGUUCGUAAGCGAACGCGACCUGAGCUCCGCGCUCCCCACCCGGCCGGGAAUUGCUCGCAGCUGCGGGAGAAUUGACCCCCUCGGAGCGUUCCCCCGAGCACACACUGAGAGGGGAGCUCCCAGCCCGACCCCCGCGCUCCCAUCAGGAGCGAUUCGGGAAGGAGAACGCGGAGCCGUCCAGCUCCGUCCCGCGACCGGGACCGUGGCAAAGACAAAAGAGCUCCCGGGGCCCGGACUGCCCCCCCGCUGCCGCCGUGCUCUGUCGCUGCGCGUGUAUAGGGGGUAUACCUGACUCCGCUUCCUCUCCUUCCAUUCCAUAACCACAGCACUUGAAUCUGAACGGGAGCAGCUGUUCGCCCUAGCUAGAAGGGAGCCGGCAAAACCUGUUGCACGGAUCUAGAGCUGAGAAAGUCUCUUCUUAGCUUCCUCCACCAUUUUGAAUCAAGUAUAGUGAUGGAGGAAGGUGUUGCCUCUGUGUUUGUUUUCAAGUGAAAGAAGGUUGGCAGCAGCAUUUGGAACACAUGGCAUAAGUCUGGGAACUGGGCCUUACAGCCAUCGUAAAGAAGUGAGCUUCAGCUUCCAAGAAGAGAAGAAAGCAGAGAGAUAUAAUUGGGUCUGCACGUACCAAUUGGAUCAAUAAAGCAUAGUCAACUCCAAGAUAGAAGUAUACAACAUGAUUACUUUCAGGUAAUUAGAAGACUUGUAUUUUACUUCAUAUUCCUGCGAAAUUUGUCUAGGCAUUUCAAUCUCAUCUGACCAAAGCCUUCAUGUGGAAGAGGAAUCUGCCUGUCAAAGAAAUUGGAGAGCUUCUCUGGAUCCCAUUUCCAUCCAAUCAAAGAUGCUUUGUAUUCACCAUCGUUAAUCGUACGAUUUGCAUUUGUGUAGAAAGUAAUAGAGGAAAUAUCCCAAGUUCAUUACCAAAAGGUAAUGAAGAGCAUCCCCAAAAAUUUGUGUGAUCUGGAUUGGAAUUCUGAAGCAGUUGAUACAAUCAGGGAAAAACAGAAGGAUUUGGCAGGAAAGAACAAGGAGAAUGGGGUUUAUGGAAGAAGAAGUUUGAAGUCUUCCAACUUCACUCAAGAAGUGUUAGUUCACUCAGUUAGGAAACUGGCACACUGACUGGCCAUCCAGGAUGGGACAGAUCUUGUCAGUAUCAGAGGAGUAAUAUUUUCACAAGGAUGAACUGCCACUGAAUGAUACAGAAACACUUUUAUCUUCAAUAUCAUGCAGGUAUUUUGGGAAGAUAAGUCCCUGUAUUAUUAAUUAUGACAUUUAAAAAUGAUUCUGUUCCUUGGGAACAAGAAGACAAAUAUUUAUCUCCAUGGUUAUGUUUUGCAGAGCACUCUAAAAGCAUCAAAAAAGUGCAAGAUCUUGUUCCUGGCAUAUAUUUCCUUUGGGCUAAUCUUUCAAGACUCCAAAAGGUGUUGAGAUACGGUUGAUGUUAUGCAACCUUCAACACUAAAGCAGAUGUACAUCGUUCCUCCUUUGAGAAGUCUUAUUUUGAUCUCUGGAGACCCAUAUAGUGGUCCUCGCUAAAUCAUUUUGAGCAGAAGGGGAAUGUGCCCAGAGCAUUAUAGAAGCAGCAAUCUGUAGAUGGAAGUUAUAUGUGGAGUUUGAUGAAGCUGGCACUUUUCCUCCUGUAUGUUAAAUAAACAAGAAGUUACUGUGUAGUGUGUGAUGAUGCAGGCUGAUACUCUGCUGCUGAAUAAAACAAUGACAUGCUAAGACUCAGACUAUUUCCUUGUAUAGUCCUCAAAAAAUAGGAUUUUUUGUUUCUGAUACAUCUGAAAAUUCACAGGCAAAUAUGCAACUAAUCAAACCUCGCAGAGAUGCUAACACCCAGAUGUGUGUGUUUCUGUGUGGAAGCAAUCUAUGGCUAAUAGUAACAGAACUCUUGGAUAGAGAAAUCCUGUAAAAAUACAGAUUAGGCAUACAUAAGUUAAAUAUGUCUAACUAGUGUGCCAAGAAUUUAUAGUUUUAUGAAAUCUGUAUUAUGUAAAGAUCUUUCAAUAUUUCCUUCUAAAAAGUUUUCAUUAAUAUACAAAAAGGAGGAUAUGGAUUUCCAUAAUAAGCAGAAGAACCUUCCCAUUUCAUGUACAAUAAAUGAAAAUAACCACAUGACCUUGAUUCCUUGGCUUCCCUCUCUCUCCAGAUCUCCAUUAGAAGUUAGUACUUGAGUAAUCCAAUCUUUUAAUAAUAAGCUAUAAAAUAAAACCGUGCAAUUUAGCAAUAAUAAUGAAUGGUAAGUUUGCAUGUUGGCUGGAACUUCUGAGUGAGACUGUCCAACAUUCACUGUGCUAAAAGUCUAACAGUACUGAGUUUGACCAUUGGGAUUGACACCCUAGAUUCGCAACAGAGAUGGGAAGGAGUGCAAAUGCAGAUCUGAAUUUUGUAUUUUAAAUAUGGAAGUAUCUAUAUCUGAGGAGAGCCUUGUCUUGUUCAUCUUGAUACACUUCAGUAAAUUAUGAGGAGCUACUUUAAAAUGAAGAAAAGACAGAGGAGGUAAAAAUCAGAGAAAAUUCAGAGCUGAAAUCGAGAGUUAAUACUUGCAGGAAUUCAAGCCAGUAUUCCUUACAAAACUUCCCUUUGACUUCUCAUCCAGGGGAAAGAAAAGGAAAAAUUUAUCUGUGUGUACCUCUAUAUCUUGUAAUAUAUCUUAUAAUAAUCCAAGUUCACUUCAUGGACAUGGAUUUUGACUCUGGCUCAUAGUGGUGACAUCAUGUCUCAUCACUAGUAAUGAUGUGAUCCAGGAAACUGGAUGAAGUAAACUGCUACCUUCAGCCUUGUAUUGGUUCAAUAGGUCUUACAUAUCAAUAGGUCUUACAUAUCAAACUUACAUACGAUGCUCUUUCUGUUCCUGUGUGAGCAUUUGCAGGACUCACUUGUCGCAAACUUCAUUAUAUUCCAACGUUACCAUCAUCAUUUUCAAUGCACUGAAGCUGAUAUUCAACCCUGUACACAGUUCUCUGGUUGUAAUUCACCAAUUUGUGUGGAUGAGCUGAUUGAGACACUCUUCAUUUUGUGGUGUGACAGCUGUGCAUGUCUGUCUGGAAUGUGGUUUGUCUUUCAUGUCUCUGUUGCCACUGCUGAAAUGCACCAUCCGCCUCCUCACUGCGCUCACAUCCACUGUUUGGUCUCCAUAAACUUUCAGCAUGUGUCAAUGAAUGUCAAAGGGGACCAUUUUUUCCACAUGGAGGAAUUCAGUGACACACCUUUGCUUUGUACGCACUUCCAUGUCAGAGGCCAUUUCGUCAGACUGCCCCUCUGUUGCCAUCUGUCACACAGCAACGAAAUGUAAUGGAAUAUUGGUGGGAAAUUUCAAGCUCUACUAACACGCUACCAGCAUCCACCUCUGAAGUUGUGGGCCAACACCACAAAAUAGGAGGCAUUAAUUUCAGAGCAGCAAGCUUGGUAGAAAGGUGAAUAAAUACAGAUUAGAUUUUCUGUAAUACCUUCACUGAAGGCUCAGAUGAGUUUGAGUCAUAGAUCAAAGCAACAUGAUCAUCUGAAGUGGUCUCUUAUUUGAGAAAGGCCAAACCUUGCACACAAAAUUCCUUUUUGCUUGCUUCCCUCCAACGCUGUAUAUUUAUCAUGGAUAGAUUAUCACUGAGUGAUCACGUUACUUUCUGGUAUCUUAUGACUGUGGUUCAACUUCAGAAACAAAAAAGAGCAAAGGAAAGCUGCCAAAUCCAUUUGCUUUAUGUGACUCCCCACUUCAGACACACAAGGAAAGGCCUUACCUUUUUAACCUGUGCAGCUGAUGCUUGGAUUUUCUUUUCAUAUAUAUGCUCCAAAAGUAAACCAUGGACUUGAGAGGAAACGAGCUUAAUAUGCCAUGUGCUUCCUAUUUGUUGAAGGUAUCAGGGCUAGAGCUCCCUUGGCAUGCUAAAACAUGAACGUUUUUACAGCGUAGCAGAUUAUGGAAGCUGCUCUUGAUAAAUUCCAGUAACAGCAUUUUACAUUCCUCAUGCACCUUUCUGUGAAUGACAGAUUGCCACAUUAAGUCUCUAAAGAAGUGCUUGACAAGGGUGGUUCAGCAAAAGAAGAAAAUGGACCAUGUGUCUGACUCGGUAACUCUACAUUUCUUAACACAUUUACACGGGACUGCAGUGUUGUUCUCUCCUGUGUGCCAGAGCAUGAGAAAACUUCAGCGUGAGACACUCCUUCACACCACCAGGUCCUCUGCUGAAAUGCACAUGAAAACAAACAUAUGGAUGUGUUUACCUCUCAUAAAAGUAUAGGAAAAAGAAUAAUUUCACUGGAAUUUUUUCUUCUUGGCUGGGAGGUAGAGGAAAAGGGACCAUGGCAGAUACACAAGCUGUAGAAGAUGUGCUUGUUGGGAAGAAGGUUGUAGAGAUUAAACAGCCAGCCCAGUAAGUACUAGAAGCCUUUAUGCUGCAAGUAGAGCAACCAGGCUAAUAUACUGUUUCAUGCUGUAUUCUGAAGGUGCUUUUUGGAAGAAGUCAGUUCAAAAUGUUGCCCAGUAUGACUCUGCCUGGCACAGAAAUCACUGCUGGUUCUAUCCAUUCAGUGGAACUGAGGGGAACAAAGUUUGAAGACAUAAGUAUAUGAUUGUAUGUGAUUGUCUACAUACUUAAAAUGUGUAGAAUUAGCUGUUAAGUGCACUCUAAAUAUGGCACAUAAAUUCACCUAUAAAUACUAGAAGCACUGUGCCUGAUUUAGAAACAUUAACUGAAGAAUUUCUCAAAUGCAAAUUUUAAUUUCUUUCAGAUCUGUUUUGUGGUUUCUUCUCCAGCAUUCAAGGUGGAUGCAUGAGAUUCCAUUUCCAGUUUUAACUUAAUGGCUUCCCUUAAGAAAGAGGAGGAAAAAAAGUUAUAUGAAUUAAACAUUACAUAUGAUGUGGCAAAGCACUUUCAGGAAUUCAAUAAGGAAGAGCAGAAAAAACUGUUGCUCAGAGUUAGUAGCAGCAGUGAAUAGCGCUGUUACCAUCUAAAAGCUCACACUUUUCAGUCAGACUUGGCUGGUGAAAUGUAGAAGCUUAAUGUGGAUUACACUUUUUAAAUCUUUCAACGUUAGAAAAAUAGAAGAGAUGUAGUGCGUUUUCAUUUCAGCGUACUUUGAAUGCAAUCUCAAGAUAAAUGUGAGAGACGGAUUGUGUUUGUACCCGUGCCAAACAUUGUCGUUAGAUAUUGCUGUUUUGUUUCAUCAGCCAGAUGAAUUUACACAGGGACAUCGAUCAGGUACCUACAUUUAAAAGAGCGCACUGUCAAAUUAGUGGAUAGAAAGAGCACAUUAGGAGAGAGAAAUUAUCUGGUGAAAGAUUUAAAGACUGACUCACUUAUGUUUUGUUUCAUUAAAUGUGGGGUAGUCCCCGUUCAUUUUCCAUUUAGCAUGAACAUUCAUAGACUCCAUUAAAAUACCAUUUUUGUAACGAACUAGCUGACUUGGGACAUACAUGAUCCUCAUUGGAAAAAACACAGCUCCCCUUCUGACAGGUUCUAGAUCACUCCAAAAUCUGGGGCCCAAGACGGGCAACCCUACUGGCUGUCUUGAGGAGACACCUGCGUCCUCCUGUAAAAUAUAUGUGUAUAGGGCAUAUAUUUUAUGGCCUGCAGGGGCUGGUGGUCUCCAUAGGGAUGGGGAGAGGUUGGGAUGGGAUGUGGUUGUAUGCACUCCACAAAAGGUCUCAGAAUAUGUUCUCAAGAGGCAAACACACACAAGCACAAAACAAACAAACAAAAAGACAAGCAACAAAAUAAAUCAAGCAAAUUGAAACCAAAUACAUCCAUGACUAGCCUAUGCCAUAAAUCCCUCUUUUGUGCUACUUUCCAGUCAGCUCCAUUACACAAUGGAUUUAAUUCCACAAUGAUUUAAUUACACAAUGAUUUAAUUCAAACAUUUUAUGGCAGAGAUGUAUUUUAGCUAAAAUGAUAUUUUUACUCAGUGUGGGGCGGCAGGGGGUUGGAUAAAAUGGACUACUUUACCAAUGAAAUGAAGAGCUACAGAAUGGUAAGAGACAGAUACAGGGAGUGUAGGUGUGGUACCAAAUCCCUACCUCACUGUUUCAAUACCUGCGCUUAGUGCCUGGAUUGCCUUACAUUCAGCUCUGUAACAGCCCCACAACAUAUCAGAGCUUCCUGCGAAGGUUUUCACUCUUCAUAUCCAAUAAGACAUUUAGAUUAAUGCAUGCAAAAUGUUGCCCUAGGAUUUGAUAGUGAAAAGAGCCAAAACCCAAAUCUUCUUUUUUUCCCCAGAAAUAGUCAUCCAUCAUUAAAAUUAUUAGAGAGCAAAUGGCUGAAAUGUAUCAUUACAAAAUAGAAGUAUUUCCUUUGAUUGUUUAAAAAUCUCUUAUUUAAUUUGAUUCAUACAUAUUUUUUUCCCUUUUACAGUUUAGAACACUGCAUCUUACCAUAUGUGAAAUGUUUCUUUGAGGUGUCAAAGUGACUUGUCAUGGGUUUGGAAUGAGAACUAAAUUAAAUGUCCAUACUUUAACAUACUUAUAUAAAUAACGAGAUAUUCCAGUAUAAACCAUUCAUUUGGCAGUCAUUUCUACAUCAGCAACUACAAAGUGCUAUAGAUUUCCUGCCUAACUUGACACAUGCAAAGAAAAUCAGGAAGGAAAAUGUGUGUGUACGCAUAUAUUUUAUAGAAAAAGACAGCCUCUUGUAUUCUAUUGUCAUUAAAGUAUUUCUAGCUUUUCUGGAAAUAGUGCAAGAGGUUUAACAAAAUGCUCUGCAUUCACAGCAGAAUGCUGGAGCAUUAAGUUGCUUCCAACUGCACUCCAAAACUUGUUUCCAUAAUUUAGAAACAGAGAGGGUAGAAAUGGAUAACAAAGUCAUUAAUGAGCUCCAAGAAUGAUUUAUUAUGGGUGAUAUAGCGUCUUUGCUUUUAAGAAAAAUACAUUAAAUAAAAAUUCUUCAUAAAAUAAAAAUUCUUUCCUAUUGAACAUUGUGCAGAAUUUGCUUUAUUAGUGUAUUAUAUCACCACAUUGCCUGGUCUGGCAUUUCUCAUACAAAUAAUGUUUCAAGGUGCUAGCAAAGCUUGUGAACUACAGUGCAAACCAUGUUAGGAAUACUGUUUGUACAGAAACACAACAGUAGCAAAGAUCCUUCUGCAGGGGUUCUGGAGAUAGUUAACACUGGAGGAUCCUUUCAUCUUGCAUCUGCUGCACAAACUUGCAUCACACUCGGCUAACAAUAAUAAAAAAUGAUAACUGAUAUUUAGUUCCAGUCUUUCCAUCUGCCUGACUUCUUUAUGCCAGUUUUUAGGUUGCCAGUCUUUCUCAUGCACACGUCUAUGCACACAUACUCUGAAAGCAUCGGUGGUCAAUGAACAGUGUCGUCUAGGUGGAAACAUCAUAUAGCUAUAAAACAACAUCCAGAUUUGCUG
rnacentral:lncRNA from 1 species